UAACGCGUAGGUAACCUGCCUUGUAGCGGGGGAUAACUAUUGGAAACGAUAGCUAAUACCGCAUAACAAUGGGUGACUCAUGUCAUUUAUUUUGAAAAGGGGCAAAUGCUCCACUACAAGAUGGACCUGCGUUGUAUUAGCUAGUAGGUGAGGUAACGGCUCACCUAGGCGACGAUACAUAGCCGACCUGAGAGGGUGAUCGGCCACACUGGGACUGAGACACGGCCCAG
rnacentral:rRNA from 1 species